CCGCGGGGAGGCCGAGGGGUUUCCGGCCGCGGUGCCAACCCCGGCUACUUCCUCCCUGUGGUCGUUUUGGAGCCAGGCGGCGAGGAGGGCAGAACGGAGGCGCCGCGGACGGGUGGUGGGCUCCGGACCCAGCCCCUCCGCGCCCUUCCCUCGCGACGGCUCGGAGGCCGCACAUCUCACCCGCUGUGACAACCCUGAUGCCCCACGCAAACCUCCCGCAGACCGACCCCUAGGUUCCCCUCUUCCGGCUCAGCUCGCUUCUCCCAGCCUCCCCCGCCGCGUUCAGCUCCCCGAGGUCGGCUCAGCCCAGACGUCCUAGCUCUCCCCCUCCCCCGUGGAAGACGCCUCCAGAGCACAAACUCCUUGAAAGCAUGAACCAGGUAUUGCUUACCAUGUUCGGGAAAUGACACAAGUAUCUGAGCAGACUCAGCCCUGUUCAGGAAACAGAGCACCUGGCUGUGGGGAAGACUCACACUUCCAUCGAGCAACAAGACUCCUGCUCACCCCGGGCACAGAUCCUGGCCCACGCAUGACACUGGCUGAGCAUAUGAGCUUGGACGAGU
rnacentral:lncRNA from 1 species